AGAGUUUGAUCAUGGCUCAGAGUGAACGCUGGCGGCGUGCCUAAUACAUGCAAGUCGAACGCGAAAGUCCUUCGGGAUGAGUAAAGUGGCGCACGGGUGAGUAAUGCAUAAGAACAUGCCCUUAGAUGGGGAAUAACGUUUGGAAACGAACGCUAAUACCGCAUAAUCUCGAGAGAGUAAAGGUGGCGCCGCAAGGGCUACCGUCUAAGGAUUGGCUUAUGUCCCAUUAGCUAGUUGGCGGGGUAAUGGCCCACCAAGGCGACGAUGGGUAUGUGGUCUGAGAGGAUGAUCACACACACUGGAACUGAGACACGGUCCAGACUCCUACGGGAGGCAGCAGUAGGGAAUAUUGCACAAUGGGGGAAACCCUGAUGCAGCAACGCCGCGUGAGUGAAGAAGGCCCUUGGGUUGUAAAGCUCUUUAGCGAGGGAAGAGGGUUGAUACGGUGAAUAAUCGUGUCAGCUGACGGUACCUCGAAAAUAAGCACCGGCUAAUUUCGUGCCAGCAGCCGCGGUAAUACGAAAGGUGCAAGCGUUACUCGGAAUCACUGGGCGUAAAGCGCACGUAGGCGGACUCGUAGGUCAAUUGUGAAAUACCUGGGCUCAACCCAGGAACUGCAGUUGAAACCACUUGUCUUGAAUACCUGAGAGGGUGGGGGAAUACCUGGUGGAGAAGUGAAAUUCGUAGAGAUCAGGUGGAACACCGGAGGCGAAGGCGCCUGCCUGGCAGUGUAUUGACGCUGAGGUGCGAAAGUGCGGGGAGCAAACAGGAUUAGAUACCCUAGUAGUCC
rnacentral:rRNA from 1 species